rnacentral:rRNA from 1 species
UUUUUUGGUGACGGUACCUGGAGAAGAAGCACCGGCUAACUACGUGCCCAGCCAGCCGCGUAAUACGUAGGGUGCGAGCGUUGUCCGGAAAUUACUGGGCGUAAAAGAGCUUCGUAGGUGGUUUUGUCGCGUCGUCUGUGAAAAUUCCGGGGGCUUAACUUCGGGCGUGCAGGGCGAUACGGGGCAUAAACUUGAGUGGCUGUAGGGGGAGAACUGGAAUUUCCUGGUGKAGCGGUGAAAAUGCGCAGAUAUCAGGAGGAACACCGAUGGCGAAGGCAGGUCUCUGGGCAGUAACUGACGGUGAGGAGCGAAAGCAUGGGUAGCGAACAGGAUUAGAUACCCUGGUAGUCCAUGCCGUAAACGGUGGGCGCUAGGUGUGGGGGUUUUUCAAGAAUUCUGUGCCGUAGCUAACGCUUUUAGCGCCCCGCCUGGGGAGUACGGCCGCAAGGCUAAAACUCAAAGGAAUUGACGGGGGCCCGCACCAGCGGCGGAGCAUGUGGAUUAAUUCGAUGCAACGCGAAGAACCUUACCUGGGCUUGACAUAUGCAGGAUCGCGCCAGAGAUGGUGUUUCCCUUGUGGCUUGUAUACAGGUGGUGCAUGGUUGUCGUCAGCUCGUGUCGUGAGAUGUUGGGUUAAGUCCCGCAACGAGCGCAACCCUUGUCUUAUGUUGCCAGCACGUGAUGGUGGGGACUCAUGAGAGACUGCCGGGGUCAACUCGGAGGAAGGUGGGGAUGACGUCAAAUCAUCAUGCCCCUUAUGUCCAGGGCUUCACACAUGCUACAAUGGUCGGUACAGUGGGUUGCGAGACCGUGAGGUGGAGCGAAUCCCUUUGAAAGCCGGCCUCAGUUCGGAUUGGGGUCUGCAACUCGACCCCAUGAAGUCGGAGUCGCUAGUAAUCGCAGAUCAGCAAUGCUGCGGUGAAUACGUUCCCGGGCCUUGUACACACC